rnacentral:rRNA from 1 species
UUUUAAAGAAUUUUCUUCUGAACAAGCCCAAUCCCGUCUGAUCUCAGAAGCUAAGCGGGGUCGGGCCUGGUUACUACUCAUAUGGGAGACCACCUAGGAAGACCUGGUGCUGUAGACA